rnacentral:snoRNA from 1 species
GUGCAAACUCGAUCACUAGCUCUGUGUGAUGUGGCAGAAGCUAAGGGAACCAGGUUUUGCUGAAGUAAUUUUGGUGAUAGAAAUGAAGUUAGCCUCAGGAGCUACUGAGGUGGCCCAUUCUAUCCUGUACAGUA